AUUUUUUGGCUUCUAUCUUAUGGCUGCCUAGCCUAUCUUACCAUCUUACGCCACGAGACAAAGAGAGAGCAAGACGAGGUGUACCUGCCGGCUGUCUCCUUGUACGUCGGUCAUCUUUUGCUGUGUGGUGUAUGGGUGACUAUUCUAUCUCUCUUCAUGUGCAACGGAGGGACCAACCAACCACUCCAUCAUCCUGCUGUUCCAGUGGCCACGAGACAAAGAGAGAGCAAGACGAGGUGUACCUGCCGCGCCGGCUGUCUCCUUGUACGUCGGUCAUCUUUUGAUAACUACUCAACGCUGCACAGCACAGGAUUCAGCAUUCAAUCACUCUCAUAAUUUUAUUGUCAUUUCAUCUUUUAUGGGGGACGCCCCACUCUUAAUUUUUAUCUCUGAAUGGCUGCUGACGUACGUAUAUAUAAGAGCACUACAAGAUACGACAGGAAAGGGUCAGUAUAAUAAUUAUGUAUUGUCCCAUGCAUAGUGAUGUAGGGUACUAUCUGUUACUUCCUUUGGUAUUUAGCCCUGCACAAGAUUAUAUAAUACAUUACUUACUAUACAAUUAUCUGCUGUAUUCCAUAUUUUAAUACGGUACUGAAUUUAUAUGGGUGUAUGGAUGGUGCAACAUUGAGUAGGCGGGGGAUGGAGUGGAGUGGACCCACCUCUGAGAGACAAAGGGCCAGUUACUGUAUCAUGUAUGAAUAUUCUGUUGCUUGUACAUUUCGUAGCAUUAUCAGUAAUUGACUGUAGAGUAGCAUCUUGAGCUCCCCUUUCUUCAUCACUCAGCAGUGUAUGUAAUUUUCUGACAGGAAAGGCUACUCUAAACAGAGGGAGUCGGCCACACAAGGUAUAGUCUAAUAAUUAUUGUACGGUACUUAGAUGAUCUUCUCUGUUUUGGGUCAGAUGCAAUUGCCUUGAAUCACUAGCCAGUUAAAACAUUUCUUCUACUCUGGGCUUAAGAAUUGUAUGUACCAGCAUUGACCUCUACUACCGUGUAGCGGGAAAGUUUGUUAUUUGAGCCCUCGAGAAAUGUUGUAUAGUUGUUCACAUUUCAAUGCCAGGAAACCAUAGCUUUGCAUGGUGCGUGGGAGUGUCUUCCAUUUAUAUUACAUGAAGUGUGAAGUGUGUUGUAAGUUUGUACAGAGAGGACUCCCAUGGUGGCAAUGAUCUGAUGAUGGCUCCACUGCUCUGAUGGACCAAUGCAGGAGAAGUUAUUCUGUAUAAUUAUUACACUAAAUUAAUGUAUGCCACUGUUUGGAUCGGUUUCUGUUCUGCUCAGCUUCUUCCUCCAACUUGCUUACGCAGGCUAAGCUUAUUCUUAAUUAGUUCAUUCUUAGUUCAUUCUAUAGUCUAGUAUAUUGUCGGUUUGGUUGUUUUAUGUUUUUCACCUGGUCAUACGGAAUCACUUCAUUAAUUUUUAUACAGUGCAGACCACACCUCUAUCCACACAUUGUACCUGCACAUCCUGUAUAUAUGGGGCCACACCCCCACUCACUGUACUGAUAUGUGGUCACACCCCCAUACAUGGUAACCCUCUUGACCACACCCCAAUCCUAUUCUGUGUUUUUGUGUACAGUACACACAUCAUCCGUGUCUUUAUCCCCACACCUAGUCGGAGGGAGCAGCAAGUUCUACUAAGAGCCAGUAUCACCCACUAACCAACACUCUACAAGACCUACCUACUACCAGCUAGGACAGCACACCACCCGGGACAGACUCUACUAUACCCAUGUAAUACGCCUUUGUAUUACGAUCAUGAUACAAUUUGCUGCCCUCCCUCGCCAAUGGAUUGAAUAAUUAUGGACACUCGCAGGACAACUAAGAGACUGACACACAAUAAUAGACACCAAAGGCAGUGUAUGUGAUUUUCUGACAGGAAAGGCUACUCUAAACAAAGGGAGUCGGCCACACAAGGUAUAGUCUGAUAAUUAUUGUACGGUACCUUCUCUGUUUUGGGUCAGAUGCAAUUGCCUUCAAUCACUAGCCAGUUUAAAACAUUUCUUCUACUCUUGGCUUAAGAAAUUGUAUUUUAUUAUUGUACCAGCAUUAGGUAGUUAACUCCACUUAUGCAUUGACCUCUACUACUGUGUAGCGGGAAAGUUCAUUAUUUGAGCCCUCGAGAAAUGUUGUAUAGUUGUUCACAUUUCAAUGCCAGGAAACCAUAGCUUUGCAUGGUGCGUGGGAGUGUCUUCCAUUUAUAUUACAUGAAGUGUGAAGUGUGUUGUAAGUUUGUACAGAGAGGACUCCCAUGGUGGCAAUGAUCUGAUGAUGGCUCCACUGCUCUGAUGGACCAAUGCAGGAGAAGUUAUUCUGUAUAAUUAUUACACUAAAUUAAUGUAUGCCACUGUUUGGAUCGGUUUCUGUUCUGCUCAGCUUCUUCCUCCAACUUGCUUACGCAGGCUAAGCUUAUUCUUAAUUAGUUCAUUCUUAGUUCAUUCUAUAGUCUAGUAUUAUUGUCGGUUUGGUUGUUAAAUGUUUUUCACCUGGUCAUACGGAAUCACUUCAUUAAUUUUUAUACAGUGCAGACCACACCUCUAUCCACACAUUGUACCUGCACAUCCUGUAUAUAUGGGGCCACACCCCCACUCACUGUACUGAUAUGUGGUCACACCCCCAUACAUGGUAACCCUCUUGACCACACCCCAAUCCUAUGCUGUGUUUUUGUGUACAGUACACACAUCAUCCGUGUCUUUAUCCCCACACCUAGUCGGAGGGAGCAGCAAGUUCUACUAAGAGCCAGCAUCACCCACUAACCAACACUCUACAAGACCUACCUACUACCAGCUAGGACAGCACACCACCCGGGACAGACUCUACUAUACCCAUGUAAUACGCCUUUGUAUUACGAUCAUGAUACAAUUUGCUGCCCUCCCUCGCCAAUGGAUUGAAUAAUUAUGGACACUCGCAGGACAACUAAGAGACUGACACACAAUGAUAGACACCAAAGGUCCAGUUACUGUAUCAUGCAGUGUAUGUGAUUUUCUGACAGGAAAGGCUACUCUAAACAAAGGGAGUCGGCCACACAAGGUAUAGUCUGAUAAUUAUUGUACGGUACCUUCUCUGUUUUGGGUCAGAUGCAAUUGCCUUCAAUCACUAGCCAGUUUAAAACAUUUCUUCUACUCUUGGCUUAAGAAAUUGUAUUUUAUUAUUGUACCAGCAUUAGGUAGUUAACUCCACUUAUGCAUUGACCUCUACUACUGUGUAGCGGGAAAGUUCAUUAUUUGAGCCCUCGAGAAAUGUUGUAUAGUUGUUCACAUUUCAAUGCCAGGAAACCAUAGCUUUGCAUGGUGCGUGGGAGUGUCUUCCAUUUUUAUUACAUGAAGUGUGAAGUGUGUAAGUUUGUAUAGAGAGGACUCCCAUGGUGGCAAUGAUCUGAUGAUGGCGGCUCCACUGCUCUGAUGGACCAAUGCAGGAGAAGUUAUUCUUCGGAGGGAGCAGCAAGUUCUACUAAGAGCCAGCAUCACCAACUAACCAACACUACAAGACCUACCUACUACCAGCUAGGACAGCACACCACCCGGGACAGACUCUACUAUACCAUGUAAUACGCCUUUUUAUUACGAUCAUGAUACAAUUUGCUGCCCUCCCUUGCCCAUGGAUUGAAUAAUUAUGGACACUCGCAGGACAACUAAGAGACUGACACACAAUAAUAGACACCUAACUGCAUUUUUGCCAUUAAUAUAAUAAAAAUAAUUUUGCCAUUAA